rnacentral:rRNA from 1 species
CUGCUCUGUAACACGUGGAUAACCUACCCUUAGGACCGGAAUAACCCCGGGAAACUGGGGAUAAUACCGGAUAAGCCAUAGACGCUGGAAUGCCCUAUGGUUCAAAGCUCCGGCGCCUAAGGAUGGAUCUGCGGUCUAUCAGGUUGUAGUGGGUGUAACGUACCUACUAGCCGACGACGGAUACGGGUUGUGAGAGCAAGAGCCCGGAGAUGGAUUCUGAGACACGAAUCCAGGCCCUACGGGGUGCAGCAGGCGCGAACACUUUACAAUGCGGGAAACCGCGAUAAGGGAACCCCGAGUGCCAGCAUCAAAUGUUGGCUGUCCGGAUGAUUAAAAAUCAUUUGUUAGCAAGGGCCGGGCAAAACCGGUGCCAGCCGCCGCGGUAACACCGGCGGCCCGAGUGGUAGCCGUUUUUAUUGGGUCUAAAGGGUCCGUAGCCGGCCUGAUAAGUCCUUUGGGAAAUCUGGCAGCUUAACUGUCAGGCUUCUAAGGGAUACUGUCAGGCUUGGGACCGGAAGAGGUAAGGGGUACUCCAGGGGUAGGAGUGAAAUCUUGUAAUCCCUGGGGGACCAUCUGUGGCGAAGGCGCCUUACCAGAACGGGUCCGACGGUGAAGGACGAAAGCUAGGGGAGCAAACCGGAUUAAAUACCCGGGUAGUCCUAGCUGUAAACGAUGCUCGCUAGGUGUCAGACACGGUGCGACCGUGUUUGGUGCCGCAGGGAAGCCGUUAAGCGAGCCACCUGGGAAGUACGGUCGCAAGGCUGAAACUUAAAGGAAUUGGCGGGGGAGCACUACAACGGGUGGAGCCUGCGGUUUAAUUGGAUUCAACGCCGGAAAACUCACCGGGUGCGACAGCAACAUGUAGGUCAGGCUGAAGGUCUUACCUGAAUCGCUGAGAGGAGGUGCAUGGCCGUCGUCAGUUCGUACUGUGAAGCAUUCUGUUAAGUCAGGCAACGAGCGAGACCCGCGCCCACAGUUGCCAGCAUGUUCUCUGGAACGAUGGGUACACUGUGGGGACCGCCGCUGCUAAAGCGGAGGAAGGAACGGGCUACGGUAGGUCAGUAUGCCCCGAAUCUCCCGGGCUACACGCGGGCUACAAUGGUUGGGACAAUGGGCACCUACCC